UCUCUAUUGUUGUGUGCACUCCUCAAUAAAGAGCUUGUCACUGGACCUUGCUGGUGUUGCCUGUCUCUCUCUGCAAUCAGACAACGAACCUUGCCAUCUGGGUUCUGAGUUCCCGACAAAUUUGGCAACUCCGCCGGGACUCGUCUGACUCUCCGGUGCGGGAUCAGACUCCGAAGCAAUGCAGCGUGCAUCCUCUGGCUUUGAGGAGCCUUGCCCGGUAACCUGAUCCCUGUGUCGGCGAUAAGGUGGGUCCAGUGAACCAGCUGAAGCCUGUAGAAACCCAGCAACAUCCGCCUACCCGUUGAGUAGGAUCCAGGUCUUCAGGGUUCGAGUCCCUGGAUAAGCUCCCACAGGCAGCCAAAGCUACUUGAAUGUGGCUGAAGCUGAUGCAAGUGGCAUCUUGUGGCUAUCACUUUUACCACAUGAAUGAUUCAACCAUUAAGGAAUGUUAGUGCAUUUAACACUUGGCAGACCCCCCUCCAUCAAAGAUUGAGUCAUUCAACAGGCUCCAACUUUUAAGCUCUGGAGAAGCCUGUCAAAUGGCUUUGGUGACAGAUUUCAGGGGAUCACACCUAAUACAGGAGAAGAUUUCAGCUGCAGAUGGGGAAGGUUUGAGAGAAGCUGAAGGAAAUGGAAAGAAAGUAUAAUUUUGGAGUGGUACUACCUGUCACCAGCUCAAAUGAUAUGUCAACAUUGCAGUGUAAACCCAGAAGACAUGUUGGCCCAGAUCCUCAGAUGGGGUAAAAUGGGGCAGCAAAUCAGUGGAGCUACCCAAGCAGCUAAGAGUCUUGCCCAUUAAAUUUAAAGAAUAACAUAUACUGUAUUUAAUAUGAUAGCACCCCAACUUUUUCAGUUGACUUCUUGCUGAUUGAAUGCCUUGUCUUUCUCAAAGGUAAGUUAAGCUAUUAAUUGGGGAGUAAGUGACCAAAAUUCAGAAUAUUAAAAUGGUCAGAGUAGUACAG